CUUACGGGGCACAUCAGGAUGGUGCACCAGCGGCUUGCCGCACGCGCGCCGGAGGAGGCAAAGCGUCUCCGAGUCGCCGAGGCCGACUGCCCUCCAGCAGCGGCCAAGCGCACCCGGACACGCUGGUCCGCCCGUUCGGCGCCAGUGACGGGCAGCACCAGUGCCCGGCGGUGGUCAUCAACCUAACACGACACCUGCGGGUGGCAGUUCCCGGCAGGCAGCCAGGAGGCCGCCGUGCGGACCAAAUGGUGAUGCCGAACAUCAUGGCGGCCCUCUCCGGCCCCCAGCUGGCCAUGGAGGGGCCCGACGGCUGGCUGCAAGCACAACAGCGAGCCCGCAAGAUGACAGCCGGCACGCUAAAAUCUUCGAUCCGCUGCUCGUCCCAGCUUAUCACCUACUCCGCAAUAGACUGCGAAAA